AUUGAACGCUGGCGGUAUGCUUAACACAUGCAAGUCGAACGGCAGCAUGGUCUAGCUUGCUAGACUGAUGGCGAGUGGCGAACGGGUGAGUAACGCGUAGGAAUAUGCCUUGAAGACUGGGAUAACUUGGGGAAACUCAAGCUAAUACCGGAUAAGUUCUGAGGAAGAAAGCUGGGGACCGAAAGGCCUGGCGCUUUAGGAGUAGCCUGCGUCCGAUUAGCGAGUUGGUGAGGUAAAGGCCCACCAAGGCGACGAUCGGUAGCCGGUCUGAGAGGAUGAUCAGCCACACUGGGACUGAGACACGGCCCAGACUCCUACGGGAGGCAGCAGUGGGGAAUAUUGGACAAUGGGGGCAACCCUGAUCCAGCAAUACCGCGUGUGUGAAGAAGGCCUGAGGGUUGUAAAGCACUUUUAGUGGGGAGGAGUCUUGUUAGGUUAAGAGCUAGACAAGCGGACGUUACCCACAGAAAAAGCACCGGCUAACUCCGUGCCAGCAGCCGCGGUAA
rnacentral:rRNA from 1 species